rnacentral:misc_RNA from 1 species
CACGUAGGGCGCAAGCGUUGUCCGGAAUUAUUGGGCGUAAAGAGCUCGUAGGCGGCUUGUCGCGUCUGCUGUGAAAUCCCGGGGCUUAACCCCGGGCGUGCAGUGGAUACGGGCUGGCUGGAGGCAGGCAGGGGAGAAUGGAAUUCCCGGUGUAGCGGUGAAAUGCGCAGAUAUCGGGAGGAACACCGGUGGCGAAGGCGGUUCUCUGGGCCUGUUCUGACGCUGAGGAGCGAAAGCGUGGGGAGCGAACAGG